ensembl:lncRNA
GCGUGAGAGACAAGACAGAACUGUAACAAGGCGGACUUUUCGGAAUGUACAACUUUUCUACUACUGGUUUUACAAGGCGUACACGCAUGUCUUUCAUCCUGUUUUCCUUCUUUCACCCCAACCGGUCGCAGCAGAUGGCCCCGCCUCCCUGAGCCUGGGUCUGCCGGAGGUUUCUUCCUGUUAAAGGGAGUUUUUCCUUCCCACUGUCGCCAAAGUGCUUGCUCAUAGGGGGUCAUAUGAUUGUUGGGUUUUUCUCUGUAUUUAUUAUUGUGCUAUCUACUGUACAAUAUAAAGCGCCUUGAGGCGACUUUUGUUGUGAUUUGGCGCUAUAUAAAUAAAAUUGAAUUGAAUUGAAUUGAAUUGAAUUAUGUAUAAUCACAUGCACUUAAAGCAUCUUAUUCCUGGUACUGUCUGGCAACCCCACCACCAGCACCAAUUCAUCAUCACAGCCAUGUUCUACCCUGCAAGUCAGUUUCGCUGUCUGUUCAGUGUCCUCCAACAAGGAUGGAUGGUGGUGGGUUUCAUAAUGUUCACAAUGGUAUUUUAUUAGUUGUUGGUUUAACCAUGGAUGAGUCAAUGGCUGUUGUUAUUUUCUUUUCAGUGACGUUCCUUGUUACAUGUUCAUUGCUGGAUUAAUGCAAAAACAUCAGCUAAUAUUGCAUAUCCAUAAUUAUUAUAAUGGAUAUAUGUGUACACGUGUAUGUAUAACUUGUACAUAUCUUUCUUGUGUAAAUGCAAAUGCCUGUGUUACUGUGUAAAUACCUAUGUUAUUAUGUAUUACACACAACGGAGAGAUGCCAAACUGUGUUUCAUUGUUCUUGUAACAGUGACAAUAAAGAGCUAUUUUAUUCUAUUCUAUUACCUCAGACUUCUGUACACCAACUACAGCGUAACAACCUGUAAAUAACAGAUCACCUGCAGUGUAUACCUUCAAGUUUAUACCUGUAAUUUCUGUACUUUGUCUAUGAUAUUUGUCAGUUAAAGAUAUUUUAACCUGUUGUAAUGUUUAUUUAACCAGGA